rnacentral:rRNA from 1 species
AACUAACGCUGGCGGCGCGUCUUAAACAUGCAAGUCAAACGGGUAGCAAUACCAGUGGCGAACGGGUGAGUAAUACAUGGAUAACCUACCUUUAAGUUGGGAAUAACACAGAGAAAUUUGUGCUAAUACCGAAUGUGACGGUUCAGCAAAGGCUGGAUUGGUUAAAGCAGCAAUGCGCUUAGAGAUGGGUCCAUGGCUGAUUAGCUAGUUGGUGGGGUAAAGGCCCACCAAGGCGACGAUCAGUAGCCGGCCUGAGAGGGGGAACGGCCACAAUGGAACUGAGACACGGUCCAUACUCCUACGGGAGGCAGCAGCUAAGAAUCUUGCUCAAUGGGCGAAAGCCUGAAGCAGCGACGCCGCGUGAACGAUGAAGGUCUUCGGAUUGUAAAGUUCAGUAAGUAGGGACGAAAAAAAUGACGGUACCUACCUAAAGCACCGGCUAACUACGUGCCAGCCGCCGCCGUAAAAC